UCGAAAGACCUUGCGCUUUGGGAGCGGCCGAUGUCUGAUUAGCUAGUUGGUGGGGUAAAGGCUUACCAAGGCGACGAUCAGUAGUUGGUCUGAGAGGACGACCAGCCACACUGGGACUGAGACACGGCCCAGACUCCUACGGGAGGCAGCAGUGGGGAAUUUUGGACAAUGGGCGAAAGCCUGAUCCAGCCAUGCCGCGUGAGUGAAGAAGGCCUUCGGGUUGUAAAGCUCUUUCAGUCGAAAAGAAAGGGUUAUGGUUAAUAACUGUGAUUCAUGACGGUAUCGACAGAAGAAGCACCGGCUAACUACGUGCCAGCAGCCGCGGUAAUACGUAGGGUGCGAGCGUUAAUCGGAAUUACUGGGCGUAAAGGGUGCGCAGGCGGUUUUGUAAGUCAGAUGUGAAAUCCCCGGGCUUAACCUGGGAAUU
rnacentral:rRNA from 1 species